rnacentral:tRNA from 1 species
GCGGACGUGGUGGAAUGGUAGACACGCCAGACUUAGGAUCUGGUGCCGCGAGGUUUGUGGGUUCGAGUCCCUCCGUCCGCACCA